rnacentral:tRNA from 1 species
GCCGAAAUAGCUCAGUUGACAGAGCGUUAGACUUUAGAUCGAAGGUCCCUGGCUCGAUCCCGGGCUUCGGCA